rnacentral:rRNA from 1 species
GGGUUGUGAGGUUAAGCGACUAAGCGUACACGGUGGAUGCCCUGGCAGUCAGAGGCGAUGAAGGACGUGCUAAUCUGCGAUAAGCGUCGGUGAGGUGAUAUGAACCGUUAUAACCGGCGAUUUCCGAAUGGGGAAACCCAGUGUGUUUCGACACACUAUCAUUAACUGAAU